CGCGGUGGCCAAGGCGUUUGGCUGAUAACACCAACUCCAAGUAAGGGGGACCUCUUAUAACAAUUUUCUAAAUACUUUGAAGAGUGCUUGUGAUUCCAGCCUUUCAGAGAAUUUAGACAUUCUGAACAUCUAGUUGGCUCCAAAUUGUGAACCACAGGAUGAGUAUUCAGUGGGCAUGAGAGAUUGAGAACAUUCUACCACACCAUAAACCUUGGUGUAGAUCACUUCCUAUUCUGUGGAUUGAAGCCAGAGAGCACAAUGAGUACAAGAAAUCCUCAAAGAAAGCGGCGUGGUGGAGCUGUGAAUUCUAGACAAACCCAGAAGCGAACUCGGGAAACAACUUCAACCCCUGAGAUUUCCUUGGAAGCAGAACCCAUAGAACUUGUGGAAACCGUUGGAGAUGAAAUCGUGGACCUCACCUGUGAAUCUUUAGAGCCUGUGGUUGUGGACCUGACUCACAAUGACUCUGUUGUGGUUCCUUAGAAAGGAGAAGGCCAAGGAGAAAUGGGAGGAGGUUGCGCCAAGACCAUGCUGACAGCUGUGUGGUGAGCAGUGAUGAUGAAGAACUGUCUAAGGACAAAGAUGUAUACGUGACUACCCAUACUCCUCGAAGCACCAAGGAUGAAGGAACUACUGGACUU
rnacentral:lncRNA from 1 species